GAUGAAGAACGCAGCGAAAUGCGAUACGUAAUGUGAAUUGCAGAAUUCAGUGAAUCAUCGAGUCUUUGAACGCACAUUGCGCCCCCUGGUAUUCCGGGGGGCAUGCCUGUCCGAGCGUCAUUGCUGCCCUCAAGCACGGCUUGUGUGUUGGGCCUCCGUCCUCCUCCCGGGGGACGGGCCCGAAAGGCAGCGGCGGCACCGCGUCCGGUCCUCGAGCGUAUGGGGCUUCGUCACCCGCUCUUGUAGGCCCGGCCGGCGCUUGCCGACACAUCAAUCUUUUUUCCAGGUUGACCUCGGAUCAGGUAGGAUACCCGCUGAACUUAAGCAUAUCAAUAAGCGGAGGA
rnacentral:misc_RNA from 1 species